rnacentral:rRNA from 1 species
CCUACGGGAGGCAGCAGUGGGGAAUAUUGGGCAAUGGGCGCAAGCCUGACCCAGCAACGCCGCGUGAAGGAAGAAGGCUUUCGGGUUGUAAACUUCUUUUCUCAGGGACGAAGCAAGUGACGGUACCUGAGGAAUAAGCCACGGCUAACUACGUGCCAGCAGCCGCGGUAAUACGUAGGUGGCAAGCGUUAUCCGGAUUUACUGGGUGUAAAGGGCGUGUAGGCGGGGACGCAAGUCAGAUGUGAAAACCACGGGCUCAACCUGUGGCCUGCAUUUGAAACUGUGUUUCUUGAGUACUGGAGAGGCAGACAGAAUUCCUGGUGUAGCGGUGAAAUGCGUAGAUAUUAGGAGGAACACCAGUGGCGAAGGCGGAUUACUGGACGAUGACUGACGGUGAGGCGCGAAAGCGUGGGGAGCAAACAGGAUUAGAUACCCGGGUAGUC